AACAAACGCUGGCGGCGUGCCUAACACAUGCAAGUCGUACGAGAAAGGGUCCUUCGGGGCCUGAGUAAAGUGGCGCACGGGUGAGUAACGCGUGGAUAAUCUGCCCUUCAGUUGGGAAUAACUCAUCGAAAGGUGGGCUAAUACCGAAUAAUGCUGUAAGACCUCGGUUGAUCAGCCAAAGAGAGCCUCUGCUUGCAAGCCCUCGCUGAAGGAUGAGUCCCCGUACCAUUAGCUAGUUGGUAGGGUAAUGGCCUACCAAGGCGACGAUGGUUAGCUGGUCUGAGAGGAUGAUCAGCCACACUGGAACUGAGACACGGUCCAGACUCCUACGGGAGGCAGCAGUGAGGAAUCUUGCGCAAUGGGGGCGACCCUGACGCAGCAACGCCGCGUGAGUGAGGAAGGUCUUCGGAUCGUAAAGCUCUGUCGGAUGGAAAGAACCGCAUAGGGGUAAACAGCCCCUGUGUCUGACGGUACCAUCAAAGGAAGCACCGGCUAACUCCGUGCCAGCCGCCGCUGUAAUAC
rnacentral:rRNA from 1 species